GGAGGGCGCGAGCGUUAUUCGGAAUCAUUGGGCGUAAAGCGCGUGUAGGCGGCUGGGAAAGUCGGAUGUGAAAGCCCGGGGCUCAACCCCGGAAUUGCAUUCGAAACUUCCCAGCUAGAGUCUCGGAGAGGAGGGCGGAAUUCCCGGUGUAGAGGUGAAAUUCGUAGAUAUCGGGAGGAACACCAGUGGCGAAGGCGGCCCUCUGGACGAUGACUGACGCUGAGACGCGAAAGCGUGGGGAGCAAACAGGAUUAGAUACCCUGGUAGUCCACGCCGUAAACGUUGGGUGCUAGGUGUCGCGGGUAUUGACCCCCCUGCGGUGCCGUCGUUAACCGCAUUUAGCACCCCGCCUGGGGAGUACGGUCGCAAGACUA
rnacentral:rRNA from 1 species